GAGGAAACAAAUCCGCACAAGCUUACACUCUUUGGUUUUGAAAACUCGACCUGGGUGGGUCGACAAAAACGGUAGAAAAAGCCUAAAUCUUUCAUCUCUUCUUCUUCUCCCCCUGUCCGUCUUCUGGUCGUAUGAAAGCAAGCCCUCUCAUUCUAUGUCCUCUCUUCUCACCUUGGAGGAAGCAAACCCGCAGAAGAAAUCUUUCUCAAUCUUCAUCCCUAACCCUAACCAAGAGGAAGAGGCAGGGAGAUUUGAAGACACAAGAGAGAAGAACUCUCGCUGAGUGGGAGAGAGAGGGGGUUUUUGUUUUGGGAGAGAAGAAAACACAGAGAGGUGUCACUGGUUUAGAGAAGGGCUUCACAAAGAGGAACCGUUGGCUGAUCAGAAAGGGGUUCACAGAGAGAGGUCACUAGUUCAGAGAAGGGCUGCGAUAGUGAGAGUUUUUUAGGAGGGCUUGGUGCUUCAGUUUGAGAAGAAGGUUCAUCCUCGAACAGGUAAGAAUUUACACCUAUUCUUCCUUUUGCUGCUGAUAAUGCUAUGCAAUACUUUCUUUUUCAAUUUUUUCUUUUCCCUCUCUAGAGUAUGAUGUUUGAAUCCUAAUAUAGGCGGUAGAUCUUGCUCUGUGAUCAAUUUUCAGUCAUGCUCUGUGAUAUAUUUCAGCUCAAAACAAGAUUUGCUGCUAUGCUGAAUCUUUCCUCUCUGUUUUGCUUUCUUUCUUUUUUCCGUUUGUCUCUUUAUUAAUUCUCUAAUGAUGCUACCCUAUCCCUAAUGUUAAGGACAUCCGAUUGUCUUUUUUGCUGAAUCCCAAUAUUUCUUGAUGUUCUUCAGUAAGCCUAAUGAUGCAUGUCUCCUUUUUUUUUUUUCUUUUAAAAGUAUGAUGGAUCUUGUAUUCUUCCUUUCCCAUUUAACUCCCUGGAUUCAUUCUCAUCGUUACUUGAUGCAGCCUUGUCCUUUUAUU